AUAAAAAUCACAUUCAUUUUAGGAUUGACAUUUGUCAAAACAGCGCCUUCCUUUGGAGCCAUGCCUGCCUGUCUGGCCCAAGAGUGUGACCUUGACUCGGGACCUGUGUGUGCAAUCGAUGAAUCAGGAUUACCAAGAACUUUCGACAACAGAUGCUCGGCUAUGUUUGCGUUCUGUCGGUUCGGUAUAUUUUACGCCGAAGUUAAGCCAGGAGAAUGUUAGCUGCAACUACAAAUAGUGAAGAGAUACUAAUAAUCAUAGAUCUGUCAGUAUUGUCAACAGUGUCGUAAAUUGUUGUAAAAAUUAUGUAUAGGUACGAGUUUUUUUAGAUUGUAGUGUAGAUUAUCUUUCUACAAACCUGUAUUUACGUAUUCAGGGAAGUUCAUUCAUGAUAAAUUUGUCCACAGUCAUGUUUGGGAAACAAUGUGUAUUUAUUAUUGAAAACCUUGAUUAUUAUUUCGCAACCACAUGAAGGAUCACUUAUGAUUCUAAAAAGUAUGUUUUCAAAAAAUAAUAGAGUAAAAUCAAUGACCUUCCCUUUUAGUAUAAUAAGUGACACAAGCAACUAACAUACCUAAAAAACAGAGUAUCGAAAUAGCCCCAGAUUUUGCCUUUGAAUAUUUAUUGAAUUUAUUAUCUUUGAAAGACAUCUAAAUAUUUCCUCUGCAGUUUGUCAUCAUUUAUUGAAAAUAUAUUGAAAUGUGAAAUGUU